rnacentral:rRNA from 1 species
UACGUAGGUGGCAAGCGUUAUCCGGAUUUACUGGGUGUAAAGGGUGCGCAGGCGGCACGGCAAGCCGGCGGUCAAAUCGCGGGGCUCAACCCCGCCCAGCCGUCGGAACUGCCGGGCUAGAGUGGGCGAGAAGUGCGCGGAAUGCGUGGUGUAGCGGUGAAAUGCAUAGAUAUCACGCAGAACUCCGAUUGCGAAGGCAGCGCACCGGCGCCCUACUGACGCUCAGGCACGAAAGCGUGAGUAUCGAACAGG